AGCGAACGCUGGCGGCGGCCUACACAUGCAAGUCGAGCGCCGUAGCAAUACGGAGCGGCAGACGGGAGAGUAACACGUGGGAACGUACCCUUUGGUUCGGAACAACCCAAGGAAACUUGGGCUAAUACCGGAUAAGCCCUUACGGGGAAAGAUUCAUCGCCGAAGGAUCGGCCCGCGUCUGAUUAGCUAGUUGGUGGGGUAAUGGCCCACCAAGGCGACGAUCAGUAGCUGGUCUGAGAGGAUGAUCAGCCUCACUGGGACUGAGACACGGCCCAGACUCCUACGGGAGGCAGCAGUGGGGAAUAUUGGACAAUGGGCGCAAGCCUGAUCCAGCCAUGCCGCGUGGGUGAUGAAGGCCCUAGGGUUGUAAAGCCCUUUCGGCGGGGAAGAUAAUGACGGUACCCGCAGAAGAAGCCCCGGCUAACUUCGUGCCAGCAGCCGCGGUAAUACGAAGGGGGCUAGCGUUGCUCGGAAUCACUGGGCGUAAAGCGCACGUAGGCGGAUUGUUAAGUCAGGGGUGAAAUCCUGGAGCUCAACUCCAGAACUGCCUUUGAUACUGGCGAUCUUGA
rnacentral:rRNA from 1 species